rnacentral:rRNA from 1 species
GAAUCUUCCGCAAUGGACGAAAGUCUGACGGAGCAACGCCGCGUGAGUGAUGAAGGUUUUCGGAUCGUAAAACUCUGUUGUUAGGGAAGAACAAGUACCGUUCGAAUAGGGCGGUACCUUGACGGUACCUAACCAGAAAGCCACGGCUAACUACGUGCCAGCAGCCGCGGUAAUACGUAGGUGGCAAGCGUUGUCCGGAAUUAUUGGGCGUAAAGCGCGCGCAGGUGGUUUCUUAAGUCUGAUGUGAAAGCCCCCGGCUCAACCGGGGAGGGUCAUUGGAAACUGGGAGACUUGAGUGCAGGAGAGAAGAGUGGAAUUCCACGUGUAGCGGUGAAAUGCGUAGAGAUGUGGAGGAACACCAGUGGCGAAGGCGACUUUCUGGUCUGUAACUGACGCUGAGGCGCGAAAGCGUGGGGAGCAAACAGG